CAUACCUUCUGGUCCUGGCUCAUCCUGAGAAAACCUGUUCAACUUUGAAUAUCUUUGAACCAUCCUGAAUUAUCUAACCAACCUACAUUGUUUCCAGUCUGCUCUUUCCCAAGAAGCUUGGUAACUAAACCUCGUCAUCACUAACAUCCUGCUUUAUUUCAUACUGGACUUUAUUACCUUUUUACUUUAUUUCAACCUUACUUUACAGCAACCGGAAUCAUCAAUACCAACCUGUUUUAUUUAAUGUUGGACUUUAUUACCUUUCUACUUUGUUGCAAACCUACCUUACAACUACCGGAUUCAACACCAGCAACCUGAAUACAAU